CCGGCGGGCCGGGGGAUGGCGCUGCUGGACCUGGCCCUGGAGGGAAUGGCCGUCUUCGGGUUCGUCCUCUUCUUGGUGCUGUGGCUGAUGCAUUUCAUGGCUAUCAUCUACACCCGAUUACACCUCAACAAGAAGGCAACUGACAAACAGCCUUACAGCAAGCUCCCAGGUGUCUCUCUUCUGAAACCGCUGAAAGGGGUAGAUCCUAACUUAAUCAACAACCUGGAAACAUUUUUUGAAUUGGAUUAUCCCAAAAACUUAAUUUACAUACAAUGCUUUUUGACUAGUAUGAAGUGCUCCUUUGUGUACAAGAUCAUGAUGAUCCAGCCAUUGAUGUAUGUAAGAAGCUUCUUGGAAAAUAUCCAAAUGUUGAUGCUAGAUUGUUUAUAGGUGGCAAAAAAGUUGGCAUUAAUCCUAAAAUUAAUAAUUUAAUGCCAGGAUAUGAAGUUGCAAAGUAUGAUCUUAUAUGGAUUUGUGAUAGUGGAAUAAGAGUAAUUCCAGAUACGCUUACUGACAUGGUGAAUCAAAUGACAGAAAAAGUAGGCUUGGUUCACGGGCUGCCUUACGUAGCAGACAGACAGGGCUUUGCUGCCACCUUAGAGCAGGUAUAUUUUGGAACUUCACAUCCAAGAUACUAUAUCUCUGCCAAUGUAACUGGUUUCAAAUGUGUGACAGGAAUGUCUUGUUUAAUGAGAAAAGAUGUGUUAGAUCAAGCAGGAGGACUUAUAGCUUUUGCUCAGUACAUUGCCGAAGAUUACUUUAUGGCCAAAGC
rnacentral:sRNA from 1 species